rnacentral:rRNA from 1 species
AGUGAACGCUGGCGGUAGGCCUAACACAUGCAAGUCGAGCGAGUGGCGGACGGGUGAGGAAUAUAUGGGAAUCUACUCUGUCGAGGGGGAUAACGAAGGGAAACUUACGCUAAUACCGCAUACGAUUAGAUGAGCCGAUAGCGGAUUAGCUAGUUGGGGGGGUAAAGGCCCACCUAGGCGACGAUCCCUAGCUGGUCUGAGAGGAUGAUCAGCCACACUGGAACUGAGACACGGUCCAGACGCCUACGGGAGGCAGCAGUGGGGAAUAUUGGACAAUGGGCGCAAGCCUGAUCCAGCCAUACCGCGUGGGUGAAGAAGGCCUUCGGGUUGUAAAGCCCUUUCGUUGGGAAAGCGGUACCCAAAGAAUAAGCACCGGCUAACUCCGGGCCAGCAGCCGCGGUAAUAC